GAGGAAUCUUGCUCAACAUCUAGACUGUGAGACCUUGCUGCAUGACAGGAUGUUGCCUGGAGAUUCCGAGCCGUGUAGAUUUCCAGCUUUGGUGCACAGAUGAGGGGUUUUCCGAUGCCACAUUGAGCCUUGGCUUAAGUUUGUGUGCCUUGAGUCAGCUUCUCAGCCCCGUGUGCCCUUAACCCCAUGAUCACAGCCCUGCUUUUCUCUGAGCCCAUUAGAGGGCGGCUUUAUUUGAACCGUCACCUAAGUUCCAACCUCAAAAAGCUUGUCUGCUCUUGUUUCUCCUCUGCAAGAUGGUCCGCACUUUGGAACCACUGGCAAAGAAGGUCUUUAAAGGAGUGUUAGUAGCUGAAUUUCUGGGCGUUUUUGGAGCAUAUAUUUUGUUUAAUAAGAUGGACACAAACCAAGAUUUUAGGCAAACAAUGAGCAAGAAAUUUCCCUUCAUCUUGGAAGUUUAUUACAAAUCCAUUGAAUAUUCUGGAAUGUAUGGAGUCAGAGAGCAAGAUCAAGAAAAAUGGUUGAACAGCAAAAGUUAGGACCAGUCAUCACGUUCAGCCUCCCAUCUAAGCUGUUUGAGACCUUUGGGGGAGAAGAAAGAUGAACACACCACACUGUAGACUUUUGGAGGCCCCACAGAACAUCCUACUGAGUAACAGGAGCUGCUGGUCUGCCAGGGUCUACAGCUGUUUACCAACCACAAUGCAAAUCCCCUGCUUAUUUAUUUGGCCACUGAUCACGGUUUACCCUAUCUUAUAGUAUCAGGCACGAAUAAAUUUCCAAAGUUGACAU